rfam:Actinobacterium acMicro-4 AMD-COM-C636, whole genome shotgun sequence.
AUUACGGAGAGUUUGAUCCUGGCUCAGGACGAACGCUGGCGGCGUGCUUAACACAUGCAAGUCGAACGAUGAAAGUGGGAGCUUGCUUCUACUGGAUUAGUGGCGAACGGGUGAGUAACACGUGAGCAAUCUGCCCCUGACUCUGGGAUAACUCCGAGAAAUCGGUGCUAAUACCGGAUACGAACUGAGACCGCAUGGUCAUCAGUUGGAAAGAACUUCGGUCAGGGAUGAGCUCGCGGCCUAUCAGCUAGUUGGUGAGGUAAUGGCUCACCAAGGCGACGACGGGUAGCCGGCCUGAGAGGGUGACCGGCCACACUGGGACUGAGACACGGCCCAGACUCCUACGGGAGGCAGCAGUGGGGA